GAAGCCUAAGUUAAAUGUUCUUGUUAAGUUAAUACUUAACAAUUUCAAUGUUAUUUUAAGGUAAGAUUUAAGAAUAUAUUUUGAGACCUUUAAAAUGAGUGGCUCUUGUACUUUAAGUUAGUAAAGUUUUGCACAUCUUAUUUCAUUCUUGUGAAAUGUAAAUGAAUGGGCCACAACAGCAUGAGCUAAUGAAUACAGUUAAUAAUGUAACUAUUUUGUUCAUAAGCUGAUUCAGUACAGGACAACUAUAUUCUUCUAAUGUGGCAAGUAUGCUUUACUUAAAGAACUGCAAGAUUCAGUAAUACAGCCUUCUUAACUGUUCUUCUAAAUAACAGGCUUUAUGCCUUUAAAGUAUUUUAUAGCACUCGCAUUUAAAAAAAUCUCAUUCUGCUUCCAUUUACUUGGUCUUUCAAAUCUGAAAUAACUCCCUAAAUGCCACGCUUUUAUAACUUACACAUAAUUUACCUUCUCCUGCUCUGAGGACACAAUCAGUACCAAUCUUUGGCUGUUUCUUUUAUCUCCUUUCUGAUAUUGAGACUAAUGAGGUUUUGGGGUUUUUUUGGUUGUCUUGUUCUGUAUAGGUAUUGCUCCCAAGCCCACACAGACCAGAAAAAGCAUAGCUCCUGGCCAAAUUCAUCAAGAUAUGCACUACCUCCAAAAAAGGCGACUGGACAAACCAAGGUUCUUCAGUGCAUCUUGGCAUCAGUCUUUGAUUGUGAAGUUAAAUUCCUGGUCGCAUUAUGCAGAGAAACUACACCAUCUGCUCAAAUCACAAGCAAGGCGAACCAAGACAUGACUGUGAUGCACUGAACCUCCAACCAGUCAACUCCUUCUCCACAGUGAAUCCUGUGAUAUUCCAUGAUUUUUGGCAUAAUUUCAGGUAUUUUAAACUAGAAAGUAAAAAGGUGCUGUUUCAAAGUCUGGCUACUAAAGAGUACACUCUUGGUCCUGUGUUGAAAACAGGACUUUUUAAAAACACUCUCAUAAACAGACCACAGGAUUCCACACAUACAUUCAUUCUAUGAUUUUGCCAAUAUGACCAUUAAGCCUUUUCUCAGCAGUUUCUGUAUUUUUUCAAAAUUGCAACAUUCAACUGUUAAGAAAGCAAAUAAACGGAAUAGUUAAGUACUGAUAAAAAUGAAGUCUUCAUUUUUAGGAAACUCUGUAUGAAAUAAAGGAUUUUAAAACUGAAAUUUUGAGCACUUCAUGAUUUCACACAUCUAAAAUGCACAUCUGGAACAAAGUAUAUAAACAUUAAGCAUUUUUUUUUACAUUUGAAAAGCAUUUGAAACAACCUUGUGGUGCAGAAUCCUUUUCCAUUAUCUAUGACUAUUUACUGGUUUUAGCUGGGGUAAAGCUAAUUUUAUACACAGUGCCUAGUGUAAGGCUGUGGUUUGGAUUUGUGUUGAAGACAUGGCUGAUAAUACAGAGAAUUUUUUUUUU